UACGGGGGGGGCAAGCGUUGUUCGGAAUUACUGGGCGUAAAGGGCUCGUAGGUGGCCAACUAAGUCGGACGUGAAAUCCCUCGGCUUAACCGGGGAACUGCGUCUGAUACUGGAUGGCUUGAGUUCGGGAGAGGGAUGCGGAAUUCCAGGUGUAGCGGUGAAAUGCGCAGAUAUCGGGAAGAACACCCGUGGCGAAGGCGGCUCUCUGGAACGCAACUGACGCUGAGACGCGAAAGCGUGGGGAGCAAACAGG
rnacentral:rRNA from 1 species